rnacentral:rRNA from 1 species
CAGGCCUAACACAUGCAAGUCGAGCGGGAAAGCUCCUUCGGGAGUAAGUAAAGCGGCGAACGGGUGAGUAACACGUGAGAAUCUACCCUUUAGUGAAGAAUACCUCCGAGAAAUCGGUGUUAAUACUGCAUACGUCCCUCCGGGGAGAAAGAUGGCCUCUUUGCUAUCGCUAAAGGAUGAGCUUGCGUACUAUUAGUUAGUUGGUGAGGUAAUGGCUCACCAAGACAAUGAUGGUUAACCGGCCUGAGAGGGUGUUCGGUCACACUGGAACUUAGACACGGUCCAGACUCCUACGGGAGGCAGCAGUGAGGAAUCUUGCGCAAUGGGCGAAAGCCUGAUGCAGCGACGCCGCGUGGAGGAUGACGGUCUUCGGAUUGUAAACUCCUGUUAAACGGGAAGAAAGAUCUGUUUCUAAUACAAGCAGAUUAUGACGGUACCGUUAGAGAAAGCACCGGCUAACUUCGUGCCAGCAGCCGCGGUAAU